AACAUCGCGCACCUGCGGGAACCUGCGGAGGGAUCAUUACUGAGUCACGUGCUCAAACAACCCUUCUGUGGACCUGAAAUAAAACCGUUGCCUCGGCGGGCGGUCCCCCCCAAACCAACCCCACGUGGUGGGUUAGGGGAGACCAGGCAGUCCGGUACGCUUAAGGCGUCCGGCGCCAGCCGCUGGCCCCAAACAAUUAAACUCUAGUAAUCUUUACCUUCUGAGUUUCAAUAUUUAAAA
rnacentral:misc_RNA from 1 species